AUACGGAGGGGACAAGCGUUAUUCGGAAUCACUGGGCGUAAAGGACGCGUAGGCGGGUUUGUAAGUCAGGUGUGAAAUCCUACAGCUCAACUGUAGAACUGCACUUGAAACUACAGACCUAGGGUAUGGAAGGGGCAGAUGGAAUUAGUGGUGUAGGGGUAAAAUCCGUAGAUAUCACUAGGAAUACCGAAAGCGAAGGCGAUCUGCUGGGACAUUACUGACGCUGAGGCGUGAAAGCGUGGGGAGCAAACAGGAUUAGAUACCCGGGUAGUCC
rnacentral:rRNA from 1 species